CCUACGGGAGGUAGCAGUGGGGAAUCUUGCACAAUGGAGGAAACUCUGAUGCAGCGAUGCCGCGUGAGUGAAGAAGGCCCUUGGGUUGUAAAGCUCUUUUGUCGGGAAAGAUAAUGACUGUACCCGAAGAAUAAGGUCCGGCUAACUUCGUGCCAGCAGCCGCGGUAAUACGAAGGGACCUAGCGUAAUUCGGAAUUACUGGGCGUAAAGCGCGCGUAGGCGGUUAAGUAAGUUAAUUGUGAAAGCCCAAAGCUCAACUUUGGAAUUGCAAUUAAAACUAUUUAGCUAGAGUUUAUCAGAGGAAAGCGGAAUACAUAGUGUAGAGGUGAAAUUCGUAGAUAUUAUGUAGAACACCAGUUGCGAAGGCGGCUUUCUGGGAUAACACUGACGCUGAGGUGCGAAAGUAUGGGUAGCGAAGAGGAUUAGAUACCCUCGUAGUCCAUACCGUAAACGAUGAUUGUUAGAUGUUGGAAAUUUAUUUUCAGUAUCACAGCUAACGCGUUAAACAAUCCGCCUGGGGAGUACGACCGCAAGGUUAAAACUCAAAUGAAUUGACGGA
rnacentral:rRNA from 1 species